GGAGAGAUGUCUGAGUUGGCUUAAAGAGCUUGUCUCGAAAACAAGUGUAUUAGUUUAAAUAGUACCGCGGGUUCGAAUCCCGCUCUCUCCGCCA
rnacentral:tRNA from 1 species